UACAGAGGUCUCAAGCGUUGUUCGGAUUCAUUGGGCGUAAAGGGUGCGUAGGCGGCGCGGUAAGUCGGGUGUGAAAUCUCGGAGCUUAACUCCGAAACUGCAUUCGAUACCGCCGUGCUUGAGGACUGGAGAGGAGACUGGAAUUUACGGUGUAGCGGUGAAAUGCGUAGAUAUCGUAAGGAAGACCAGUGGCGAAGGCGGGUCUCAGGACAGGUCCUGACGCUGAGGCACGAAGGUCAGGGGAGCAAACGGG
rnacentral:rRNA from 1 species